ACGAAGGUCCCAAGCGUUGUUCGGAAUCACUGGGCGUAAAGGGUGCGUAGGCGGCGCGGAAAGUCAGAUGUGAAAGCCCGGGGCUCAACCCCGGAACUGCAUCCGAUACUCCCGCGCUUGAGGGCCGGAGAGGAGUCUGGAAUUCACGGUGUAGCAGUGAAAUGCGUAGAUAUCGUGAGGAACACUAAUUGCGAAGGCAAGACUCUGGACGGUUCCUGACGCUGAGGCACGAAGGCCGGGGGAGCGAACAG
rnacentral:rRNA from 1 species